AUUGAACGCUGGCGGCAUGCCUUACACAUGCAAGUCGAACGGUAACAGGCCGCAAGGUGCUGACGAGUGGCGAACGGGUGAGUAAUGCAUCGGAACGUGCCCAGUAGUGGGGGAUAGCCCGGCGAAAGCCGGAUUAAUACCGCAUACGACCUGAGGGUGAAAGGGGGGGAUCGCAAGACCUCUCGCUAUUGGAGCGGCCGAUGUCAGAUUAGCUAGUUGGUGGGGUAAAGGCCCACCAAGGCAACGAUCUGUAGUUGGUCUGAGAGGACGACCAGCCACACUGGGACUGAGACACGGCCCAGACUCCUACGGGAGGCAGCAGUGGGGAAUUUUGGACAAUGGGCGAAAGCCUGAUCCAGCCAUGCCGCGUGCAGGAUGAAGGCCUUCGGUUGUAACGUAGCUUUUGUUACGGUAACGAAAGAACUACUUCCUAAUAAAGGGGUACCGAGUAGACGGUACGUAAACGAAUAAAGACACCGGACCUAACUAACGUCGCCACGCAGCCGCGGUAAACCGAACGAAGAAGUACU
rnacentral:rRNA from 1 species